rnacentral:rRNA from 1 species
UACGUAGGGGGCAAGCGUUGUCCGGAUUCAUUGGGCGUAAAGAGCGUGUAGGCGGCCAGGUAGGUCGGUUGUGAAAACUGGAGGCUCAACCUUCAGAGGUCGACCGAAACCACCUGGCUAGAGUCCGGGAGAGGAGAGUGAAUUCCUGGUGUAGCGGUGAAAUGCGCAGAUAUCAGGAGGAACACCGAUGGCGAAGGCAGCUCGCUGGGCCGUAACUGACGCUGAGGAGCGAAAGCGUGGGGAGCGAACAGG